GUCAGCAGCCGCGGUAAUACCGGCGGCUCGAGUGGUGGCCACUUUAUUGGGCUUAAAGCGUCGUAGCUGGGUUAUUAAGUCCCUUGGGAAAUCCGACAGCUUAACUGUCGGGCGUCUAAGAGAUACUGGUAAUCUUGGAACCGGGAGAGGUGAGGGGUACUUCGGGGGUAGGAGUGAAAUCCUGUAAUCCUCGAGGGACCACCUGUGGCGAAGGCGCCUCACCAGAACGGCUUCGACAGUGAGGGACGAAAGCUGGGGGAGCAAACCGGAUUAGAUACCCGGGUAGUCCCAGCCGUAAACGAUGUGCGUUAGGUGUAUCGGUGACCACGAGUCACCGAGGUGCCGAAGGGAAACCGUGAAACGUACCGCCUGGGAAGUACGGUCGCAAGGCUGAAACUUAAAGGAAUUGGCGGGGGAGCACCACAACAGGUGGAGCCUGCCGGUUUAAUUGGACUCAACGCCGGAAAUCUCACCGGAUAAGACAGCAGAAUGAUUGCCGGGCUGAAGACUCUGCAUGACUAGCUGAGAGGAGGUGCAUGG
rnacentral:rRNA from 1 species